AACCGUAUGCUUACAAGCCGUUGGAGCAAUUUAUUGUGACAGCGUGCCUAUUGAAGAAUGAGCCGGCGAGUUAAUUUAUGUAGCAAGGUUAAGAUAUUAAGUAUUGGAGCCGAAGCGAAAGCGAGUCUGAAUAGGGCGUUUAGUUGCAUGGAUUAGACCCGAAACCGUGUGAGCUACCCAUGACCAGGGUGAAGCGAAAUUAACGUUUCGUGAAGGCCCGAACCCUUGUACGCUGCAAAGUGCUGGGAUGAGUUGUGGGUAGAGGAGAAAUUCCAAACGAACACGGAGAUAGCUGGUUCUCCCCGAAAUGUAUUUAGGUACAGCCUUAGGUAUUAACUGAUGGAGGUAGAGCACUGGAUGAGCUAGCGGGCGCAAGUUUAGCAAACUCAACCAAACUAAGAAUGCCAUCAGCCGAAUCCUAGGAGUGAGACAGUGACGGAUAAGCGCCAUUGUCGAAAGGGAAACAGCCCAGAUCGCAAGCUAAGGUCCCAAAGUUAUAGUUAAGUGGUAAAGGAGGUUGGAUCGCCCAGACAGCUAGUAGGUUGGCUUAGAAGCAGCCAUCCUUUAAAGAGUGCGUAAUAGCUCACUAGUCGAGGGGUUCUGCGCCGAAAAUUAUCGGGGCUAAACUAUACACCGAAGCUGCGGGAUUCUUUAUGAAUCGGUAGGGGAGCGUUCUCAAUGCACUGAAUCUGAAUUGUGAAAUUUGGUGGAGCGUUGAGAAGUGAGAAUGUCGGCAUGAGUAGCGACAAUCUUUGUGAGAAUCAAAGACACCGGAAGUCCGAGGUUUCCUACGCAACGUUGAUCGGCGUAGGGUUAGUCGGUCCUAAGGAGAAGCCGAAAGGUGAAUUCGAUGGACAGCUGGUCAAAAUUCCAGCACCGUAAUUAUCCUGUUAUGCAACGAAGGGACGCGAUAAGGACUGUUAAGCAUGCCUAUGGACAUGGUGUGUGGGGCCUUGUAGGGAAGUGAUUGUGGUUAAAAGAACAGUUACGUUAUUAACUGAGAAGGUUUCAGACCUUAAGGCUUCGGCCUUAGGGAAUUUAACACGAACUACGUCGCCAAGAAAAGCUUCGUUGAUAGGGAUAUUAUGACCGUACCGAAAACCGACACAGGUGGACAGGGGUAAAAGCCCCAAGGUGAACGAGAAAACCAUCCUCAAGGAACUCGGCAAAUUAACCCCGUAACUUCGGAAUAAGGGGAGCCUAAAGUAUAUAGACCUCGCGUUGAAAGUAUUUUAGGCCGCAGAGAAUUGGUCUGAGCGACUGUUUAUCAAAAACACAGGUCCGUGCUAAAGCGAAAGCUGAUGUAUACGGGCUGACGCCUGCCCAGUGCCGGUAGGUUAAAGUGAAGAGUGAGAGCUUUGAUCUGAAGCCCCGGUGAACGGCGGCCGUAACUAUAACGGUCCUAAGGUAGCGAAAUCCCUUGUCGGGUAAGUUCCGACCUGCACGAAAGGCGUAACGACUUGGACACUGUCUCGAGGGUGGACUCGGUGAAAUUGCAUGACCCGUAAAGAUGCGGGUUACGCGCAGCAGGACAAAAAGACCCCGUGGAGCUUUACUGUAGCUUGGCAUUGAAUUGUGAUUAAUGAUGUGUAGGAUAGGCGGGAGACUAUGAAUUUUGAGCGUCAGCUCAAUUGGAGUCGCCCUUGAAAUACCGCCCUUCUUUGGUCUUGAUUCUAACUUUUUUAGGACAGUGUCUGGUAGGCAGUUUGACUGGGGCGGUCGCCUCCUAAAAUGUAACGGAGGCGCCCAAAGGUAACCUCAGGCUGGAUGGAAAUCAGCUUUUGAGUGCAUUGGCAUAAGGUUGCUUGACUGCGAGACCAACAAGUCGAGCAGGGACGAAAGUCGGGCAAAGUGAUCCCACGGUACCGAGUGGAAGGGCCGUGGCUUAACGGAUAAAAGCUACCCCGG
rnacentral:rRNA from 1 species